rnacentral:rRNA from 1 species
CCUACGGGUGGCUGCAGUGGGGAAUUUUGGACAAUGGGCGCAAGCCUGAUCCAGCCAUGCCGCGUGCGGGACGAAGGCCUUCGGGUUGUAAACCGCUUUCAGCCGGAAAGAAAUCGCUGUUUUUAAUACAGACAGUGGAUGACGGUACCGGAAGAAGAAGCACCGGCUAACUACGUGCCAGCAGCCGCGGUAAUACGUAGGGUGCGAGCGUUAAUCGGAAUUACUGGGCGUAAAGCGUGCGCAGGCGGUUUUGUAAGCCAGACGUGAAAUCCCCGGGCUUAACCUGGGAACUGCGUUUGGAACUGCAAGACUAGAGUGUGUCAGAGGGAGGUGGAAUUCCACGUGUAGCAGUGAAAUGCGUAGAUAUGUGGAGGAACACCGAUGGCGAAGGCAGCCUCCUGGGAUAACACUGACGCUCAUGCACGAAAGCGUGGGGAGCAAACAGGAUUAGAUACCCCUGUAGUC